rnacentral:rRNA from 1 species
GGUCGGGAACUCAAAGGAGACUGCCAGUGAUAAACUGGAGGAAGGUGGGGAUGACGUCAAGUCAUCAUGGCCCUUACGAGUAGGGCUACACACGUGCUACAAUGGCAUAUACAAAGAGAAGCGACCUCGCGAGAGCAAGCGGACCUCAUAAAGUAUGUCGUAGUCCGGAUUGGAGUCUGCAACUCGACUCCAUGAAGUCGGAAUCGCUAGUAAUCGUGGAUCAGAAUGCCACGGUGAAUACGUUCCCGGGCCUUGUACACACCGCCCGUCACACCAUGGGAGUGGGUUGCAAAAGAAGUAGGUAGCUUAACCUUCGGGAGGGCGCUUACCACUUUGUGAUUCAUGACUGGGGUGAAGUCGUAACAAGGUAACCGUAGGGGAACCUGCGGUUGGAUCACCUCCUUA